CGGAGCGUAGCAUAACGGUAGUGUGCACGCAUGGGGUGCGUGUGGCCCGGGUUCGACUCCCGGCGUUCCGA
rnacentral:tRNA from 1 species